GGCCUACCAUGGUGGUAACGGGUAACGGGGUGUUAGGGCACGACACCGGAGAGGGAGCCUGAGAAACGGCUACCACAUCCAAGGAUGGCAGCAGGCGCGCAAAUUACCCAAUCCCGACACGGGGAGGUAGUGACAAUAAAUAACAAUACGGGGUUCUUCGAAUCUCGUAAUUGGAAUGAGUACAAUUUAAAUCUCUUAACGAGGAACAAUUGGAGGGCAAGUCUGGUGCCAGCAGCCGCGGUAAUUCCAGCUCCAAUAGCGUAUAUUAAAGUUGUUGCAGUUAAAAAGCUCGUAGUUGAAUUUCGGGGUCAGCAGGUUGGUCUUGCCACUGGUAUGUACUAGCCUGCCGAUUCCUCCUUCUUGUAGAACCGUAAUGCCAUUAAUUUGGUGUUGCGGGGAAACAGGACUGUUACUUUGAAAAAAUUAGAGUGUUUAAAGCAGGCUAGCGCCUGAAUACAUUAGCAUGGAAUAAUGAAAUAGGACGUUCGAACCUAUUUUGUUGGUUUCUAGGAUUGACGUAAUGAUUAAUAGGGAUAGUUGGGGGCAUUAGUAUUCAAUUGUCAGAGGUGAAAUUCUUGGAUUUAUUGAAGACUGACUACUGCGAAAGCAUUUGCCAAGGAUGUUUUCAUUAAUCAAGAACGAAAGUUAGGGGAUCGAAGACGAUCAGAUACCGUCGUAGUCUUAACCAUAAACUAUGCCGACUAGGGAUCGGAUGAUGUUAAUUUUUUAAUGACUCAUUCGGCGCCUUACG
rnacentral:rRNA from 2 species